CUCCGUUUGGUAGGGCGUAAAAAUUUUUCGGUGUAAAAUGAUUUUUAUGGAAAAUAAUUUAUAAUGGAAAACACAAUUCCAAAAUUAGUUUUCCGUUGUUUGGUUCGAUGUAAGAAAAAUGAUGAAAUGAAAGGGAAAGUAAGGAGGUAGUGAGAGGAGUGUACACCCCUUCAUUUUGAAAAGAAAAUAGUUUUCUAUCAUUGGGAGAGUAAUUUUACCUCAAAGGAAAAUAGUUUUACACUCUUUUGCCAACCAAACAAUGUAAAACUGAAAAUAGAGGAAAACAAUUUUCUGGGAAAAUGUUUUAUGCCCUACCAAACGGAGCCUAAGUGAUUUUUGCCAAAUAAUGCUAGAUUUGCGGAGAAGGUAAUCCAUCCACCAGACAUAGACAAUCAAAUAUACUUCCUCUAAUAAUAGAUAAAGUAGGGAGUUACUAAGGAAUAUAGAGAGAGAAAGUUGAGAUCACGAUAUAGUAGAGUAAUAGAAAAAAAGUUGUGGUUCGUUCUUGUUUUUAGUGGUAUAUUUGUAAUAAGAGUGAACUGCUUUUACCAUUUAGAGUUUGGUUUUACUUGUUGUGACUAUUUCAAAUAAGGGAAAUGUUUUAUUUAUUGUGAAACGGAUGAAAUAUAUAUAUAUUUAAAUUAGAAAGUAUUAUAUGGGAAAAAUUGUGAAAUAGUACCUUUUAUAGCACUGGCUUUGUGAACUAGUACCUUUAUUGUUUUUUUUUGUCAACUAGUACCUUUAAGUUGUGAAAUCUUUUAUUUGCAGUACCUUUACUAAAUUUUCCGGGCAAAACAGUCAACAUUCCGACGUUGACUCCUGAUUUCCCACCAAAUUUUGCGCGUGAGUUACACAUCUAAUCUUUGAACCCCUCUCUCCCACUCGCCUAAAAUAUUACUCCCAUUUAACUCAAUCUUUUUCCACAAAAACAGAAACCUUGACCACUAUACUCAAAACUCUCCCAUUCUUACCCUAAAUUUCACCUUGUCAAAGAGAAUUCAACUAUUGGGAAUUGAAUUUCAGUUUCAGUCUUCUUCAAUUUCAAAGAAGAAUGUCUUCUUCAAAGUCUGGAUCUUCCUCAGCCAAACGUACUAGGAAGUGUGGAUGUGGAGUCCCAGUUGCUGAAAAAAGAUCAUGCACUGUUGAUAAUCCAGGGAGGAAAUUUAUAGCAUGCAAAUUUUAUGACAAGGAGAGUGGGCACAGGGGCUGUGAGCUUUUUGAUUGGGUGGACCAAGGUUCGACUGAAUGGCAGAAGGACACCGUCAAUCAAUUGGUGUUGGAGAAGCAAAUUCUGAAAUCUCAAAAUACACUACUGAAGAGACAGAGAGGAGAGAGAAUGUGAUAAGAGAGAGAGAAUUUACUGAAAAUGAAUAGAGUGGUGGUGAGAAAGUAAAGAUGGGAGAUGAAAGAGUGAGAAAUUGGGGGGAAAAUGGAGUUAAAAGAGGAGAGUGAGAACACGCUCCUUCAGAAGCAAAAAAAAGGCCAACUUUGGUGGGAAAUCAGGAGUCAACGUCGGAAUGUUGACUGUUUUGCCCGGAAAAUUUAGUAAAGGUACUGCAAAUAAAAGAUUUCACAACUUAAAGGUACUAGUUGACAAAAAAAAACAAUAAAGGUACUAGUUCACAAAACCAGUGCUAUAAAAGGUACUAUUUAACAAUUUUUCCU